UUUGAGUCAAUCGGUUUUCGUAACCAAUUUUAAUCGUUCGUUUUAUUUAUUUAUUUAUAAUUAAUAUUUUUUAUUGUUAUUAUAUGAUAAAACAUAAAAAAUAUUUUAUGCAUGACUUAUGUUUUUAAAAUUUUUUCAAAGAAAUUAAAUAAGACGGACAAUUAAAAUUGAACACGAAAACUUAUAGAUGCGUUUAAA
rfam:Oryza meridionalis cultivar OR44 (W2112) chromosome 2, whole genome shotgun sequence.